rnacentral:misc_RNA from 1 species
CGCACCUUGCGCUCCUUGGUAUUCCGAGGAGCAUGCCUGUUUGAGUGUCAUUAAAUUCUCAACCUCUCUAGUUUUUACAGACUAGUAGAUGGCUUGGAUUUGGGAGUAAAUUUUGCAGGCUUUCACAAGUCAGCUCUCCUUAAAUGUAUUAGCUGGUGUCUUCUAACCGGUCUAUUAGUGUGAUAAUUAUCUACGCUGUGGACUAUUAGAUAUUGGCGCUGCUUAUAAUCGUCUUAUGACAAUUUAUGACAUUUUUGACCUCAAAUCAGGUAGGACUACCCGCUGAACUUAA